rnacentral:rRNA from 1 species
AGCGAACGCUGGCGGCAGGCCUAACACAUGCAAGUCGAACGGACCCUUCGGGGUUAGUGGCGGACGGGUGAGUAACACGUGGGAACGUGCCUUUUGGUUCGGAACAACUCAGGGAAACUUGAGCUAAUACCGAAUGUGCCCUUCGGGGGAAAGAUUUAUCGCCAUUAGAGCGGCCCGCGUCUGAUUAGCUUGUUGGUGAGGUAAUGGCUCACCAAGGCGACGAUCAGUAGCUGGUCUGAGAGGAUGAUCAGCCACAUUGGGACUGAGACACGGCCCAAACUCCUACGGGAGGCAGCAGUGGGGAAUCUUGCGCAAUGGGCGAAAGCCUGACGCAGCCAUGCCGCGUGAAUGAUGAAGGUCUUAGGAUUGUAAAAUUCUUUCACCGGGGACGAUAAUGACGGUACCCGGAGAAGAAGCCCCGGCUAACUUCGUGCCAGCCGCCGCCGUAACAC